rnacentral:rRNA from 1 species
UGGGGAAUCUUGCACAAUGGGGGCAACCCUGAUGCAGCGACGCCGCGUGAGCGAUGAAGCCCUUCGGGGUGUAAAGCUCUUUCGGCAGGGAAGAUAAUGACGGUACCUGCAGAAUCAGCUGCGGCUAACUACGUGCCAGCAGCCGCGGUAAUACGUAGGGUGCAGGCGUUAAUCGGAAUUACUGGGCGUAAAGCGUGCGCAGGCGGUUUGUUAAGACAGGUGUGAAAUCCCCGGGCUUAACCUGUGAAUUGCGCUUGUAACUGGCAGGCUAGAGUGUGGCAGAGGGGGGUGGAAUUCCACGUGUAGCAGUGAAAUGCGUAGAUAUGUGGAGGAACACCGAUGGCGAAGGCAGCCCCCUGGGUUAACACUGACGCUCAUGCACGAAAGCGUGGGGAGCAAACAGGAUUAGAUACCCGUGUAGUCCCUGAGCGGGCUGGCAAGGCGCAU